CGAACGAAACUUCUUUAUCACCGAGUGCUUGCACUCACCGAUAAAGAGUUGAGUGGCGAACGGGUGAGUAACACGUGGGCAACCUGCCCAAAAGAGGGGGAUAACACUUGGAAACAGGUGCUAAUACCGCAUAACCAUAGUUACCGCAUGGUAACUAUGUAAAAGGUGGCUAUGCUACCGCUUUUGGAUGGGCCCGCGGCGCAUUAGCUAGUUGGUGGGGUAAAGGCUUACCAAGGCAAUGAUGCGUAGCCGAACUGAGAGGUUGAUCGGCCACAUUGGGACUGAGACACGGCCCAAACUCCUACGGGAGGCAGCAGUAGGGAAUCUUCCACAAUGGGCGAAAGCCUGAUGGAGCAACGCCGCGUGGGUGAAGAAGGUCUUCGGAUCGUAAAACCCUGUUGUUAGAGAAGAAAGUGCGUGAGAGUAACUGUUCACGUUUCGACGGUAUCUAACCAGAAAGCCACGGCUAACUACGUGCCAGCAGCCGCGGUAAUACGUAGGUGGCAAGCGUUAUCCGGAUUUAUUGGGCGUAAAGGGAACGCAGGCGGUCUUUUAAGUCUGAUGUGAAAGCCUUCGGCUUAACCGGAGUAGUGCAUUGGAAACUGGGAGACUUGAGUGCAGAAGAGGAGAGUGGAACUCCAUGUGUAGC
rnacentral:rRNA from 1 species